rnacentral:rRNA from 1 species
AUGAACGCUAGCUACAGGCUUAACACAUGCAAGUCGAGGGGCAGCAUGGUCUUAGCUUGCUAAGGCCGAUGGCGACCGGCGCACGGGUGAGUAACACGUAUCCAACCUGCCGUCUACUCUUGGACAGCCUUCUGAAAGGAAGAUUAAUACAAGAUGGCAUCAUGAGUCCACAUGUUCACAUGAUUAAAGGUAUUCCGGUAGACGAUGGGGAUGCGUUCCAUUAGAUAGUAGGCGGGGUAACGGCCCACCUAGUCUUCGAUGGAUAGGGGUUCUGAGAGGAAGGUCCCCCACAUUGGAACUGAGACACGGUCCAAACUCCUACGGGAGGCAGCAGUGAGGAAUAUUGGUCAAUGGGCGAGAGCCUGAACCAGCCAAGUAGCGUGAAGGAUGACUGCCCUAUGGGUUGUAAACUUCUUUUAUAAAGGAAUAAAGUCGGGUAUGCAUACCCGUUUGCAUGUACUUUAUGAAUAAGGAUCGGCUAACUCCGUGCCAGCAGCCGCGGUAAUACGGAGGAUCCGAGCGUUAUCCGGAUUUAUUGGGUUUAAAGGGAGCGUAGAUGGAUGUUUAAGUCAGUUGUGAAAGUUUGCGGCUCAACCGUAAAAUUGCAGUUGAUACUGGAUAUCUUGAGUGCAGUUGAGGCAGGCGGAAUUCGUGGUGUAGCGGUGAAAUGCUUAGAUAUCACGAAGAACUCCGAUUGCGAAGGCAGCCUGCUAAGCUGCAACUGACAUUGAGGCUCGAAAGUGUGGGUAUCAAACAGGAUUAGAUACCCUGGUAGUCCACACGGUAAACGAUGAAUACUCGCUGUUUGCGAUAUACUGCAAGCGGCCAAGCGAAAGCGUUAAGUAUUCCACCUGGGGAGUACGCCGGCAACGGUGAAACUCAAAGGAAUUGACGGGGGCCCGCACAAGCGGAGGAACAUGUGGUUUAAUUCGAUGAUACGCGAGGAACCUUACCCGGGCUUAAAUUGCAGAUGAAUUACGGUGAAAGCCGUAAGCCGCAAGGCAUCUGAGAAUGUGUUGCCUGGUUGUCGUCAGCUCGUGCCGUGAGGUGUCGGCUUAAGUGCCAUAACGAGCGCAACCCUUGUUGUCAGUUACUAACAGGUUCUGCUGAGGACUCUGACAAGACUGCCAUCGUAAGAUGUGAGGAAGGUGGGGAUGACGUCAAAUCAGCACGGCCCUUACGUCCGGGGCUACACACGUGUUACAAUGGGGGGUACAGAGGGCCGCUACCACGCGAGUGGAUGCCAAUCCCAAAAACCUCUCUCAGUUCGGACUGGAGUCUGCAACCCGACUCCACGAAGCUGGAUUCGCUAGUAAUCGCGCAUCAGCCACGGCGCGGUGAAUACGUUCCCGGGCCUUGUACACACCGCCCGUCAAGCCAUGGGAGCCGGGGGUACCUGAAGUGCGUAACCGCGAGGAGCGCCCUAGGGUAAAACUGGUGACUGGGGCU